AGGGAAGUUAUUAAAGGAAUGAGAUAGGGGCCCCUGGAUGGCUGAGUCAGUUGGCCUCUUCUGACCUCCUCUCAGGGUCAUGAUCUCUGGGUCGUGGGACUUAGCCCCUGGUGAGGCUCCCUGCUCAGUGGGGAGUCUGCUUU